GGAUGUGCUGGCCUCGUGGCUUGUCUGAUUUGCACGGUGACUUGAUUACACGCUCGCAUUCAUGGUCACUUCCGAAGCGCUUUAGUGCCUUCCGUCCCUAAACCGCCAACAGCCAGGGCGGCUUUCCGCGCGGAUUGUCAGUGAUCCACGGGUCCGGAAGGGCCUUCGUCUUACCCGGGAUCCAC
ensembl:misc_RNA